rnacentral:rRNA from 1 species
GACGAACGCUGGCGGCGUGCCUAAUACAUGCAAGUAGAACGCUGAAGAGAGGAGCUUGCUCUUCUUGGAUGAGUUGCGAACGGGUGAGUAACGCGUAGGUAACCUGCCUGGUAGCGGGGGAUAACUAUUGGAAACGAUAGCUAAUACCGCAUAAAAUUGAUUAUUGCAUGAUAAUUAAUUGAGAGAUGCAACUGCAUCACUACCAGAUGGACCUGCGUUGUAUUAGCUAGUUGGUGAGGUAACGGCUCACCAAGGCGACGAUACAUAGCCGACCUGAGAGGGUGAUCGGCCACACUGGGACUGAGACACGGCCCAGACUCCUACGGGAGGCAGCAGUAGGGAAUCUUCGGCAAUGGGGGGAACCCUGACCGAGCAACGCCGCGUGAGUGAAGAAGGUUUUCGGAUCGUAAAGCUCUGUUGUAAGAGAAGAACGGGUGUGGGAGUGGAAAGUUCACACUGUGACGGUAUCUUACCAGAAAGGGACGGCUAACUACGUG